rnacentral:rRNA from 1 species
AUUGAACGCUGGCGGAAUGCUUUACACAUGCAAGUCGAACGGCAGCACGGACUUCGGUCUGGUGGCGAGUGGCGAACGGGUGAGUAAUGUAUCGGAACGUGCCCAGUCGUGGGGGAUAACGUAGUGAAAGCUACGCUAAUACCGCAUACGAUCUAUGGAUGAAAGCGGGGGAUCGCAAGACCUAGCGCGACUGGAGCGGCCGAUAUCAGAUUAGGUAGUUGGUGGGGUAAAGGCCCACCAAGCCAACGAUCUGUAGCUGGUCUGAGAGGACGACCAGCCACACUGGAACUGAGACACGGUCCAGACUCCUACGGGAGGCAGCAGUGGGGAAUUUUGGACAAUGGGCGAAAGCCUGAUCCAGCCAUUCCGCGUGCAGGAUGAAGGCCCUCGGGUUGUAAACUGCUUUUGUACAGAACGAAAAGGUUUCUACUAAUACUAGGAGCUCAUGACGGUACUGUAAGAAUAAGCACCGGCUAACUACGUGCCAGCAGCCGCAGUAA